UGAUUGCGCAAGCGCAGAAAAUGGGCCCUCUUGGCCGUCGGGACUUGUACUGUUGGUGACUCCGUCUCCUUAGACGGUGGAGCCUGCGUGACCCAGAAAGGCCACAGCUGUGCUCCUGAUUCUCAGGCCUCGGGACCCAGACCAGGAUUUCCAUCAGCUCCCCUGGCUCGCAGGCCUUCUGACUUCUGACUCACCAUCAGCUCUCCUGGAUCCAGCUUGCCAAUGGCAGAUCGUGGGACUCCUUGCCCUCUAAUCGCAUGAAACAAUGCCCACAGGGCAGGUCUCACUAUGUUGCCCAUUCUGGUCUUGAACUCUUGGACUCAAGCAAUCCUCCCACCUCGGACUUCCAAAGUGCUGGAAUCACAGGCUUGAGAUACCAUGCCCAGCCAAUUUAUUGUGAUGGUGAGCUCCUUAGAGGGAAGUAUAGUACAUAUUUCCUCCAUGUCUCCAGUACCCAACACAGUGCCUGACGUUGAGAGGGCUCUUAAUAAGUGUUUGUGAAAGACUGGUAGAGCAAUGCCCUAUGAAACAAGAAGCUGGAUAACACUGCUUAGGACUCAGAGGAGAGAGGAGUGUGGUCUACACUGCACAUCUCUGCCAAGCCUGGCACGGGAUUUGAAGUUCCACACCACUGAGCCAAACACAUCCAGACCCUCUUCCAACCCGGGGAUCUGGUGGUAAGCAAAAUACUAUUCCAGCAAGUGAUGCCCCCAGUCUCCUAAGGAUAUAAGAAACAGGAAGUUGUGUUUGGCUGCGGACAAACUCUCUCAGUGCCCCUGGGACUUACAAGAUGUUUGGAAUGAGGAACGGCAGCUCUCCCAAUGCGAGCUCAGCGGAGGCCCCCAGAAAAACGUGGGGAGGAGAGUUUUCCCCAUAAGACAGACUGUCCUUCAGCCCCGGCCACCAAAGAGGAGUAACCCGGGCCUGCUGUUCUCUGGGACUGAAUGCGGCUGCAUCCUUCCCUUCCUCUGCUUCCUGUCCCGAUCUGGUUUCUGAGUCCCUGGGCUGCAGCUGUUGAAUUUCCAGACACAAACAAGUAUGCGUUCUGAGAGCCUCGCCGAGCCCACACAACCGGGAGAGCCAAGCUGGAUUCCAUUCUGCUUUGCACAUCAGCAGCUCUGCUGCCAGCUGAACUCCAGGGCAAAAGCUGUGCCUGGUAAUGAUGCAGGCAGCAGGGAUGGCACAGCUGGCCUGGCUUAGGCCGUUAAGGGGGACACGCUUGGCCUUAUUUGGGGGAGAGCGAGAAAUGGAAGGCGAUGAAGAGUUGCGGAAGCAUACAUCAGCCUCCACAAAACUGGUGCACAGCAGGGAAACAAUCUGGUUUUGCUAGUCAUCAACAACAUGCCUGUGUGUGUGCCUGUUUAUGCUUAGGUAAGCCCAGCCUCCCACUCGCUGAAAAGAGUAGGCAGACAAGAAGGAGUGACCAACUCUGAGUCAGCUGUCAUCGUGUAGAGAGCAGCUAAGGGGAACAGUGGGGCUGGAAUCUCAUGGCCUUGCCUAGUGCCCCUACAGCAUCCUCUCUGCCCAUGGUGCCAGAUAUCUGAAUGGGAGGACAAAGGGGGCACAGGUGGUGAAAAAAACCAAGAUGCACAUUUGGGUAUUUUCCUUCUUUUGCUAGAAUGUCAUUUCUUGAUGUCUGUUUCUUGUCACCCAUUUGUGAUCAGGGACUAAGUAAGUUCCCUCUGCACCAGACCAGGUGGAAGACUGAGCCAGAGUUCCUCUGAGCCACAGGAGAGAUGAGGAGCUAUGGAGCGGAGUAGGGGCUGAGGAUCUGGUGCCCCCAGCUAAACUAAAAGGAGGCAGGCAGCAUGUAAGAGGAUGAUGGGGUAGCUCACAGAGAGGAAGGGGAUAUUCUUUCUCAAGAAUGAUGAGCCCAAAGGCAUCGCAUAACAAUUGUGAUCUCCCAGCUGGACGUUUCCUGUAGCACAGGUGUUCACAGUGUGGCUCCCAAACCAGCAGCCUCCAUGUCAGUCACUGGGAACUUGUUAGAAAUGCAGAUUCUCAGGCCACCCCAACCAUUAGAUCAGAAACUCUGGGGAUGGGGCCCCACAAUCUGUGUUUUCUUUUCUUUCUUUCUUUCUUUUUUUUUUUUUUUGAGACAGGGUCUCACUGUGUCAUCCAGGCUGGAGUGCAGUGGCAUGAAAAUGGCUCACUGCAGCCUCAACCUCCUGGGCUCAAGUGACCCUCCCACCUCAGCCUCCUGAGUAGCUGGGACUACAGGCCUGUACCACCAUGACCGACUGAUUUCGUUUUUUAAUUUUUUAUAGAAACAGGGUCUCGCCAUAUUGUCAUGGCUGGUCUUGAACUCCUGGG
rnacentral:lncRNA from 1 species